rnacentral:rRNA from 1 species
ACGUGAUCUGAGUUCAGACCGGAGUAAUCCAGGUCAGUUUCUAUCUAUAAGAAGCCUUCUCUAGUACGAAAGGACCGAAAAGACACAGCCAAUGCCCCCAGUAAGCUGUCCCCGUUAAUUUAUGACCCAAACUUAAUA